rnacentral:lncRNA from 1 species
UUGCUGACUUCAUGCUUGUGGGGAGAUGUUGAACUCUGACUCUGGUUUCUCGGCCCCAAGACCAUUUUUCUAAUGCCUGUUUAUCAUCAUCUAUCAACGUCGUCUGUCUCUUUUCUUCUGUAGCCACUGAUCAGAGCAUUUGGAUUGAUAAUGAAUUUGAAAGUAUCAACAAUGGAGGGAAACAGUUUCUGGAACAUACCAAAGCAAGUGUGCUGUUCAACCCAAUGAGUCUUGCAUAGAUAGACCCUUGAGUUUCGUUUUGUGAAAUUCAGAUCCCCUCUCUUCCAGUACCCUUUCAAGGAUCCUUUGUCUCUUUGGGGAGAGAUCAAAGAACAGGUAGAUUUCAUGGAGAAGGUCCACCAUAAUUCUGGUUAUGGGAAUUUUACAAGAUAAUGCAAUGCAAAGAUUCAAUAUGUGGCUGUUGUAAUGAGUAUAGAGUGCUGUUGGAACUAAAGCCUUGAUUCUGGCCCAAACCCUCAUCUGUUAUGAUGACAUUGCACUAGCUCCGUUAUAAACUUGCAACAUAGAUACAAUGGCAUUUGCAAUGGCUCUUCCUGUUGCAUGCUCCAAAUAAAUGAAAUCAAAGAUCUUGUUGAUUUCAGGUUUUGCCAGAUCCACAAAUCUCAGACAUAUCCAUAAAAUCUCUUUGUUGGCGUACUUGUCUGUAAACUCAUCUGUAAUAAUGAAUAUGCAGUGUUUUCAUUUCUUAGAGGCAAUGUCAGAGCAAAUUUAAUGUGAUCUCCAAUAAUCUGUAUGAUUUCAUUCUGCACUGUAUGUAGCAUUCUUCUUGGCAUUUAAAAGGUGCUCGUGAAGCAUACUAUCACCUUUAUCUAUCAGAUCUAACAACUUAUGAGAUUCCCUUUGUUUAUCGAUUUUGAAGCAUAAUUAUCUCUAUGAUGUUGCAAGGGGAUAUUUUGUUUACCACAAAAGAUUGUGUAAAUUUUUUCUCAUACAGAUCCCAUUUCAUCAUUGAACUCGUGUAGAGCAUUGUCUUUGUCAGAUUUUCUUGAGCCUGGCACAGUGUCACACCCACUUCAACAGCAUCCUUAUGGUACUGUAAUUGUUGAUGUUUCUCUAGUAUGCCACUGACAUUGCUCAAAUUUGUGAAUGGUUACACCAAAAGGAUUUCUGUUUUGUUGAUUUGAGAAUCCUUAGGUGGUAAAAUAAUAUUUACAAAAUCCACCUGAGAUUACAUUACUGUAUAAAAGCCACUUGUACUUGUCUAGCCAGGAUGCCUGAAAGGUUAACUUCUUUGACUUUGCCUCUUUUUCCUUGGUGACUAUUUGAGUGAAAAAGUUAUAAUUUGCAACUGGUGUAAAAUGUGCCUUGAAAUGCUGAACUUUUUGUAAUUAAAUAAUAGUCAACUUUUACACUAAUGUCGUUGAUAUCUCUGACAUCAUGCACUCCUUGACUCAUCAUAUCCUGCUCCCCAGAAGCAAUCUUCUCAGAGUUGCAUGUAGAUUGAUCCCAAAUUUGUGGUUCACAUGCUUUAAAUGAUGGUGCUGGUGAUGUAGCUUCCCACUAUUGGUGCCCAAAGUUGAAGUUGUUGUAAUGAGACAAAAUACUGAGUUUUAAGAUAUGUUCAAUUGAUGGAUUAAUAUACUUUGCUAAGGGCCACUCAUCAAGCAGGUUUGUUGCAUGUCUCUUGACUCUCUCAUCGAUUAGUUUUGCCAUUGCCUUAUGCAAUAGCUCAGACGGACUAGCAGGUUUAUAACAAAACAAGCACACAAGGCUUUUGGUAAUGUUCUGCUGUUGGGGGUGUUUACCAUGUGCUUGCUUUUUGGCAGAGUUGGAACUUUUCACAGCUAAGUGAAAUCUGGUUUUGCUAUACAGAAGCAUGUAGUGUGGAACUUUGCUGAAUGCUGUUGCAAUGUGGCUUUUAUGCUAUUUCCAUCAUUUAGCUUCAAAUGUGUGAAGCAUUUUGGGUAGGCAACCAGUGGUGCUAAAAGCAUUCAACUCCUCUACAAGACUGAUAUAUCCUACACCAACAUUACCAUGUUGUGAUACAGUUGGACAGCAAAGUUUCCCACUGUUGUCUUCUUGACAAAGGACACACUUUGACUAAUUUGUUUGUUUGACUGCAGAAGCUGGUUGUGUUUUCGGAUUAACAAGUUUCACUUUUGUUUCCCACACAUUUUAUGCUUAUUAGAAAGGAGGUUAUACAAUACAUGAAAUACAUAAUACAGUACACAAAACAGAAUACACAAUAUGUCAAGUUAGAUGGUAAUAGUAGGCCAUCAUCUUUAAAAAUGAUAGAUCAGUUGCCUGGCACACUCAGCAAUGCUUUUUCUGAACUCAAUGGCCCAAAAACCUGUGUAAACACCUAAAUGAGGGUUCUAGGCCUCUUAAUUUCCAAGAUGUGAUAUGAUGUAUUAUUCUGAGAAAGUUUGCCAUUUUAAAAAAUGGCCAGUAAGGCCACCACAGGUAAUAUCUGGGAUGGCACUGUAUCUAAAUUUACAUUCUUUGGCAUGAUGUACCUCUGACCCAAGUUUCUUGCUUUUACCACAAAGUGUAAAAUUUUUUCUUUAUCUGCUGUAUUUGAUUUAUCCAGCAGCUUCAGAGUAAUCUAAAUCUAAUAAAAAUGUUUGUCACUUAUACGUAGUGAUAAAUGUUAUCAAGGAUUGUAUUCAUAAGUUAUCAUUACUACUCUGGAACAGUUUUUUGAAAUUCUAAUUUUAAUUUGCACUGGUUAGAAACAGUAUACUUUUAAAAAUGAAUACUUUUUUUUUUAACCAGCAAUAAAUGGCUAACACUUAGUAAAGCAGAAAACAUGUUCAACAAUUUAGGAACUUAGUUAUUAUUAGUGUCAGUCAUUUAAAAUUUAAAUUUUCAUUAUUCUAAGAAAUAGGGUUUAUACUGGUGUUGAUAUAUUUAACAAAAGGUACCAUUGUAUUCAAUAUUAUAGGUUAUGGUUGACAUUUAUAUUGGCCAUGUAAAAAAAGGUUAACAGUGGAAUCUGUAACCUAGGAAAUACAUCACAUUUGUAGGUGUUUAAACAUGUAGUUUUAAAUAUAUAUAUUUUUUCAUACUUAUUUGUACUCAUUAGUAAUAUUUCUCUGUAUAAUUAUUAAAGAUUAUUCUGUUAUUUCUACAAGAUUGUUAUAGUUAAUCAAUUGGACUAUAGAUUAUCUCUCAUGCUGGUAAUUACUAGAAAUAUACUUUAUCUACAAAACUGUCAUAAAGUUAAUUUAAGCUUUUUUUUAUAGAACUAUUUUAUGUUUUAGUUUACACAUUUUGUAUGACACUAAUAGAUUUUAAGUUAGAGUACCAUUAACAGAGCAUUGUAAACAUUAGGUUAGCUGUAUAAUCCUGUUAUAAAUAUUAGUUUAGGUUUUUACUCAACAUUUAAGGAUUUAUGUAUGAGCACCCUACAAAACUUGUGGGUAUUAGCUAAUGAUUUGUUUAGAAAAUCACCAUAGGAUUAAGUUCUCAGAAUAAAACAAGUAUAUGAUCACUGUGUUGUUUAAACAUUUUUUUAUUAUUUCUGUUUUUGAUGAAUUUCUUCCAUCGCAGUUGUUUUACCAUACACCAAAUUUUGUUGAAAUAAAAGGAUUAUUAAAUUUG